UAAGGGUAACGAACUGACGGUCUUUUCCCGGCAACGGGAAAAGCUAAGAGGGAACACGGUUCCAUCCCGACUACCGGGUCAUUCCGUGGCUGCCCCCGCAACUGUAAGCGGUAAGCCCGCACCGUAAAGCCACUGGACACCUCAACGGUUCGGGAAGGCGGUGUCAGGGUGUAAAGCCGCGAGCCAGGAGACCUGCCGUUUCAGGAAAAACGUCU
rnacentral:ncRNA from 1 species